GGGCCCGUAGUGUAAUGGAUAUCACGUUAGAUUCCGGUUCUGGAGAUGUGGGUUCGAUUCCCGCCGGGCUCA
rnacentral:tRNA from 1 species